rnacentral:lncRNA from 1 species
GGAGGAGUGGAGGCUGCUGGGUAACCUGCUCUGCAGGUUUGUCUAGUGAAUCAUUCACUCCUGCUGCAGCACUCAGAAGGACGACUGGAGCUCGUGUUCAUCAUGAGCAAAGGCGGCACGCUGAAAGUGAAAAACUUUCUGAAACUAAAGCCAUCUGACAAAGACAGCAAAGAACACAAACUCUCAGACUAUAUCAAAGAUGCAGCAGGGGUUACUUUCAAAGGGGCGACCCACAACUCUCCGCAAAAUCCCGGUCCUGUCAGCCCUGGAGGCAGUGUCGGGCCGGCCGCUGAUUCAGUACCAGUGUCCCCGAGAUCCAAGAAAGGACUGAGGCAGCUCUUCAAAAGCUCAGCCAAGAAAUCCAGAAGCAGGGGCGCGGAAGGAGAAGUGGACGUGUUUUUCCCUGACCACGAUGACAUGGGCACAUUCAGCAGGCACUGGAGCUACGACCAGAUGAGUGUUUCCACAGAGUACAGCAUCCAGACGGAGUCACAGCUGGACCCUCAGUCCGAGUCCACCUCCAUGAUCAGCUUUGACAUGAGUCAGUCGUACAGCCCAACAUCGGCCUCCAAAUACUUCAAGAAUUCAGAAGAGAGAAGGGGCAUGCUCAAUCGCAUUAGCCAUUUCUUCAGCACCAGGAGGAAGAGGAGCAGCAGUAAGCGGCAUUCAGACAGCGACAGUGUCGUAUCACCACCUCUUUCUCCAUGUUCAGUCCAGUCUGAAGAGGAAGAUGGACUGAAGACUCCAACGCCAUCUCGUAAAGAUUGUGACAUAUCGUUGCCUGGUUUGGCAAAUGCCACAAGAGAACCAGAGCUUUUUGAGACCCUUAGCCAAAGCUCUGGCCAAAGCACCUCCAGCAUUGUGUCUCUAGUAAGAUGUAAUGAAGAGGAUUCUCGGAGCAUUACACCCAAAACUUUGGGCCUUGCUGUCACACCUCGUCCGAAUCCAAAUUCAGAGCGAGGCUCAGAAUCACGAGUGCAGAACAAGCAUCUACAGAGCAGCAGCAUAGUCCAAAGUUCCACAGAAUGUUCCAAAGAGGAUGAGCCUGUCAAUCACACGACACUGUUAGAAUCCAAAAUCCCACUUUCUGAGGUCACUGCCACUCCAAGUGUCCCAACAUCACCCAGCUCAGAUGCUUCCAUAUCUAAUAACUCCAGGAACACUGUAGAAAACCAGCAAAGGUCAAGUCAAACAGUCUUUCCAUCAUCUGCCUUGGAUUUGACUCCACGGGUCAUUGAAGAGGGUCCAGACACACCAAGGGAGGAUGCAGGAGCCAAUGAGAUGCAAGUCAGCCAUCCGUGUGAACGGGAACACCCACCAGGAACUACCCAUCCAUUCUGUCCCCUCCAGCUCCACAAAGCCAUAAAGGUGGAGGGUUACCUGAGAGAAGAGGAGAAAGAAAAAGAGAAAGCAGACAAUGCAAAAGGUCUAACAAAUGACUGGCAGGAUGACUUCCAAGCGGACAUGCCCCUCGUCCUGGCUGUACCUGCAGCCAUCAUUCCGGAGGAUUCUGACACUCAAGAUACUACAGACAACCUGUCCAACACUUUGUCUUCCAUCGGGUAUUUGCAACAACCAGGCACCUCACAGGACUCCCAGACAGGCUUGCUAAAGACAACUGGGCCAAGCAGCAGUAAGGAAUCAAAGCCAAGCACACCUCAGGAGAGACACGCAGCAGGAGAAGUUUGUGUUACUCGCAAAACUGUUAAUUUGCCUUCAAAACACAAAGUAAUGCCUCAGAGAGUGUGUGGACCCAAAGUACAGAAAUUAGCUCAGGAGAAAGCAACUAUAGAGGAAAAGAGACAAUCACCUUCUCAGAAGAUCUCAGAUGCUGAUGUGGUGAGAUCUCAGAUGCUACAGUGCGUCGAAACCAAAGAGAAGCUCAUCCAAAUCAGCUGUGAGCCAACAAAAAAGCCAGUAGAGUGUGACAGAAACCCUCCGGGACCCUCGAAUCAAGAACAAACUGAGAUCGCAGCGUCGCACGGACACAAAAUAGUGGUUGGCGGUGACUCCAGGGUGAAAGGCCAGCUUAGCAAAGUCACACUCUCUAACCAAAUAAGUAACUCUGCAGUGGAAAGGAGCCCCGUCGUGGAGGGUGAAGCAAAGUGUGCACUGAUAAAAAUUGCAAAUGAUGCCAAGAAUGAAGCAAAUUCUAGCCAAGUCUUCAAGAUGAACAAAAUUGGAAUUGGUAAUGAUGUCUCGCAAAGUAAACACAGCAAUGAUGAUGCAUUUAAAGACCAAGGCAAGUGCGAUCCUUGUCUUCAAACAGUAUCAAAGUCAAAAAUCCCCAAAAGGUUGAUCCCAGGUGACGACGUAGCAGUGACAGUGUGCGACACCUCACUGACAGAUGCCUCUGGAAGAGUUGCAAUCAAAGCCCAGAAACAAACUUGCACCAAAGAAUCUUCAAAAACAGAAAAUAAAGUGGACAAAAAGCACAUGACAGAAAAAAAAGAGGACUUAAGUGACAUUGGUGGUGUAGGAAAACAAGGGGAUAGCAUUAAAACAGCACAGUCGGUGGAGAAGCAAAGCAAAUAUCCUGUAAACAAUGCAUGCGACCGUGAGGACGUGAGGGCCUCCUUGGCAUUAAAGAGUGCCAACAUUCCAUGUCUGACUGGAAAAAACUGUGAUAUCACAACUAUAAAUGAGACAAAGAGACCAGCAAAGACCAGCAAAAUAAAUCUGGAAUCAGAGCUACAACAGAGCCCUAAAAAGCAGACAUUGGCCCAAGGUCCCAAACACUCAAAGACAGGUAAGCUGUUAGCUACACCUAAGUGGGAACGAAUGUUCAGCAUGAAGGAAAUCUCACAUUUGGUGGUAAAAUUUAGCAUGUUAUAGAGAUGUACUGUAGAUGAACGGUAGUCUGAUAGUUGAAGCAUUAAAGGAAUAUUUUCACUGUGAACUUUUUAUGAGUUCUCAGAGCUUUUCAGGCAGUCUGGACAUCCCUAGUCAAAAUGACUCUUGAUGUGAAGCAUUAAGCAAGUUGAAGAUGAGAUGGUCUCCAAAAGGCACAAAGUGAAACACACUUGUUUCAAGAACCAUGGCCAAUUUGUUUUUGAUUGUAAGUGGGGCAAAUGGGAAAGAUGGACCACGUAGUUGGAUCCAUCAAGCUAAGGAAUUCCAAAAAAUUCUGGAAGCAAACAAACCAAUCUGUAAAAAAAAAAAAAAGCUGAAGUGAAAACGAGGACGGCUUCUGGAUAAUGAUCCUGAACACUCCUCCAAAUCCAUGAUGCACCACUUAGACAGGUGCACGCUGAAGGUUUUGCCAUGACCCUCUCAGUCUCCUGGCCACAGCAUCAUUGGAAAAGUAUGGACAGACAGACAGACAGAGGAGACAGAGGAGCAGGUGGAGCACAUAAAUCUGACAAAGUCAAAGACUUUUAGCAUUGAGAAUACCUGAAAACAAGAGUGGAAGGCUGCUGAAAACUGUGUUUACAAGCUGUGGUGCUGGCCAGAGGGGUGCGACUGGGUACCAAAUAUGCAGGGGGUCCAACUGUUUGCUGCAGGCCCGUUCCCUUUUCUUUUAUAUUGAAAAUGAAAAAGAUAAAAUACAUUUUUUUAAAAACAUUUUUUUAAUAUAAAGGUUUUAUUUGUAACUUUAUUCCUUUUGGAGAUCAAUUCCUCAUCAACUUGCAUAAGUGGCCACAGUAACUUGUUCCUAGAUCACACUCAUUGUGUGUGUGUGUGUGUGUGUGUGUGUGUGUGUGUGUGUGUGUGUGUCUUUUCAGCAGGUAGCAAACAGCCACCUAAACCACCCAAACACUCCAUCAAAAGCAGACCUACUCUUCAAGACUGUGAGCCUUCAUCUCCCGCCAGCAAUGACAACACACUACAGCUGUCUAAGCAAAGUACAACCAAGACCAGCAUGAAAGAGCAAGAAGAUAUGACAUCAAGUGGAGGCCAGGUUCCUGCGGGCGAUCCAAAGAGCCUCAUUCCAGUAAAGGCAAGAAAAAUAUCACCUGACUCUCCCUCAAACCCGACUGCUGUUGAGCAGGAACACUCAAAGCAGAAUACCAACCCUUGGAGAGCCGUCGAUACACCCAUUCAUGCUACAGAACAUCAAGUGAAGGUCAGUAGUGACCAAGUCAGAUUGAAACCUAUGGAAGAUCAGAACAAAGUGGUCACAGACACAAAAUCCAGUUCCAGUACAAUUAGUAUGAAGAGAAAACAAUCAAAGGCAUCUGAGGCAAGUAAGAGCAGCUCCAUCAGCAAAGAUAUCGUUAAAGGAGAUGUUAGUCUGGUCACUGGCCCAGACACUGAAGCAGUGGGUCAGGUGGUUGGUACCAGUCCACCCUAUUCACCAGCCGCUCUUAAAAAUAUGGCUGAAGUUGACAGUCAACAACCACUCGAUCAGACUCAGACGCAAACAAAAGUUGAGAUUCUGCCUAAAACUCCACUGUGUACUGGUCAAAAAAAGGAUCUUCCAGGGUCAAACCAGGUAGUCAAUGACCCAACUGCAGAUAUACAGCAGGAGGAACAGGCCACUGAGAGCAGUCCUGCAAGGUUGUCUCAGGAUCUGAUAGCAGCUCAGGAGGAUAUCAGGGCUUUAUCAUCACAAACCACUGGACCAGAUGAGGACUUGAAGAAGAUACAAAGAGCAGAGAAAGGUCAACUUGAUGGGACAGCAGAGGGUUUGAACAUUGACCCCGAGAAUGCAGAUGUCGGCCAGUACCCCGUUAAUGUUGAAAAUAAACUAACAAAUUUGAGAGAGGAUUUGAGAGAUGAAUUAGAAAGACAGUUGGAUUUCAAGACAAACAAGAAACUGAACUCUGACCUGAAAGCUCAACGCAGUCCCUUACAGUCUCUUAGAGAGACAGGGAAAGCCAUUCCAGAAGCCUCACUAGUAACAAACUUCCAGACAGAGGGCAGUGAUACUCAAGUCAAGAGCGCAUUAGAUGAAAAUGAAGCCAGUGUCAUGGAUAUAGGACAAGACUCUGAGUUAAGGAGAGUUAAGGAGAUAGAAGUAGAAAGGUCAACAGUGCUGUGCGACGACAAGCACUUAAAUCCUGAGAGUCUGAAAAAAUCAAAGCAAAUAGUUGCUGAUGUUCUAGGAAUGGAUGUAACCGAUGUAAUGCAAGAAUCUGACAGCCACAUGAAAGAAAAGGCAGGUGUCCAGCAAGAGGUGCAAUUUAAAAAAGACCCACUGAGUGGCAACGAGACUGGGAGGUUCAGCGAUAUACCUAUCGAAGAACAUGUUUACGCAAAAAUGAAGAGAAAACAAUCAAAGGCAUCUGAGGCAAGUAAGAGCAGCUCCAUCAGCAAAGAUAUCGUUAAAGGAGAUGUUAGUCUGGUCACUGGCCCAGACACUGAAGCAGUGGGUCAGGUGGUUGGUACCAGUCCACCCUAUUCACCAGCCGCUCUUAAAAAUAUGGCUGAAGUUGACAGUCAACAACCACUCGAUCAGACUCAGACGCAAACAAAAGUUGAGAUUCUGCCUAAAACUCCACUGUGUACUGGUCAAAAAAAGGAUCUUCCAGGGUCAAACCAGGUAGUCAAUGACCCAACUGCAGAUAUACAGCAGGAGGAACAGGCCACUGAGAGCAGUCCUGCAAGGUUGUCUCAGGAUCUGAUAGCAGCUCAGGAGGAUAUCAGGGCUUUAUCAUCACAAACCACUGGACCAGAUGAGGACUUGAAGAAGAUACAAAGAGCAGAGAAAGGUCAACUUGAUGGGACAGCAGAGGG